AGCUGUUCCCCUCUGGAGGUUUAUUGACCUUCACACUUCAUGGGCCGCGGUUUCCGCUGGCCCAUUUUUUUAUCUCCC
rfam:Rhizobium etli CFN 42 plasmid p42a, complete sequence.